rnacentral:rRNA from 1 species
UGCGUAGGCGGCGCGGAAAGUUGGGUGUGAAAUCCCUCGGCUUAACCGAGGAACUGCGCCCAAAACUACCGUGCUCGAGGGAGAUAGAGGUGAGCGGAACUUAGGGUGGAGCGGUGAAAUGCGUUGAUAUCCUAAGGAACACCGGUGGCGAAAGCGGCUCACUGGAUCUCUUCUGACGCUGAGGCACGAAAGCUAGGGUAGCAACG